GUGAACACUUUUGCUUUCAAUGUUGUUUCCUCCACAGGUGAUCCUGGCCGUCUGUCCCAGGCUCACCGACACUGAGGGGGGCUGAGUCAGCACAUAGGAGGCUAUGGAACCUGCAAGAGAGAAAAGGAGUGGUGUGAUUCUUGUGUGAAUUUCCCAGAAAACUGGAGGCGAAGCAUCAGCCUUUUUGUAGCUGACGUUGAGGCUUAUCUGCUGGGUCACCUUGUUGACAUAUGACAGUGACCACAUUGCAAUGGCUGCACCUUUCAUCCUCCUUCAGCUUCUGACUCCUGUGCCAGCAUUUCGAUCAUUCAGACUGAAUUUGGAUUAGAGUCUGCGACAUGGUUCUUACUGGAAUCUCCAGCCUUCUGUCCUGUCCUGUAGCGACUAGACCUGCCGCCCCACAACUGCGUGAGCCACUUCUCAUUGUCUCGCAUCCAGAUGGCCAACCCUUCCUGCGUGAUAGAAGCCCUGAUGCCAGGCUCACCCCAUCUCCAGGUGCUUUGCCAGGUGAUCUCUGCUGUCCCCUGGUGGCCACUCCACACUGACUCUGGGAGGCUCGGGGAACUCCUUUGUCAGGGUGAUGAAGAACCCACAGCUCAGAACCUGAUUCGCUGAUCCCUUGACUGCUGGCUCCAGAGGAGGAAUUGCUCUUUUCUCCAAUGCCCUGUCAGCCUCAAGACCAGGCAGGAGGAGAUCAGAUUAUCCAUGAAAACAAGAACAGGCUCAUCUGAGGAAGACAAGGUCUCACAUCCAGAUGGCCAACCCUUCCUGCGUGAUAGAAGCCCUGAUGCCAGGCUCACCCCAUCUCCAGGUGCUUUGCCAGGUGAUCUCUGCUGUCCCCUGGUGGCCACUCCACACUGACUCUGGGAGGCACGGGGAACUCCUUUGUCCGGGUGAUGAAGAACCCACAGCUCAGAACCUGAUUCGCUGAUCCCUUGACUGCUGGCUCCAGAGGAGGAAUUGCUCUUUUCUCCAAUGCCCUGUCAGCCUCAAGACCAGGCAGGAGGAGAUCAGAUUAUCCAUGAAAAUAAGAACAGGCUCAUCUGAGGAAGACAAGGUAAACCAAAAAAGAGAAAGUUGGAAACUGGAUUUAAUAAGACAACAUCAAUUCUGGAAAACUGAAUUCAAGCGAGGCUGCACUGCUGUGUGAGAUGGAGUCAUUUAAAGUGAGGAUUCCCUCAGAAUUGCAGGAAGUGCACUGCACAGGCACUUCCUGGUCCUUAGUUCCCGCCAUUGCAGAGUUGGAAAGAAUCACUUUCUAGGACCAUAUCAAAGAAGCAAAUAGGCUCUGUCAUUUCCCAGACAAUUUGGCAGAAUGUGUUUCAUUUUACUUUAUCUUGAGAAGGAAGAGGAACAGAGACCUGAAUUCUCAAGACCAUGCUGCAUGAAGUCCCCUCUGCACAGGGUUGGAAGCACCUUCAGAGCAAGGAGGGAGCCUGUGAGUACAGAGAAGGUUUUGGUCUCACUUCCCCAUAAACUUGAACCACUGUGGAGAGUAUUACUACUAGCAUAUGAGCAACAGUAAUAAUCAGCCUCAUCUUCAGCCUGGAGCCCAGAGAUGGUCAAGGAGGCCGUGUUGCCAGACUUGGAGCCAGAGAAGCGAUCAGGGAUCCCUGAAGGCCGGGAAUUUACAUUAUAAAUCAGGAGUUUGGGGGAUGUGCCUUCGAGCUGUUGGUACCAGGAGAUGUCACUAUAUCUCCCAAUGUCAUUGCUGCUGCCAGCACAGGAGAUGGUGACUGUGCGUCCCAGAUCCCCGGACAGUGAGGGAGGCUGAUUCAGGGCAGACUGGGCCCAGGACCCUGAAAAGAGAAAGAACAUAUUCCAGUGAGUUCAGUGCUGGGGGCCCAAAUGAGUCUGAAGAGCAGACAAAGAUCAGUCCAGAUGUCCCUGUGGACUCUUCCUUGAAGGCCGCACCUGUGUCCUGAGUGAGGAGGCUGAGGAGGACCAGAGCCCAGGCCAUGGUGCAGAUGCCCCAACAGCACUGCCUUCUGAGACCCCAACCCUGGGCCUGGCUCCCCAAGACCUCUCUUAUCCCCUUCCCCUUGCUCAGAGGAGGGAGGGGCCUCUAUGCAAAUGUGCUUCCUGCACCUGCCUCUCCUCAACCCUCUGACCUGGCUCUUUAUUCUAGAUACUUUUGCAUCCCUGGGCAGCAGACCUUACUCAGAACUUAAAAUCUUUAACAUAUUAUCAGUCAGGUCAUACUGAGCUCAUGACAGUGCCCUGGAAAUAGAUCCAACCCAUAGAUAUCCUUACAUUUCCUGUGAUGAGAAUCUGGUGGUUCCUAAGUAAGGAAUCGCAGGGCUUCUCCUCCAGAUGUGUGACUCAGCUGUGGGGCCAGGAUGACAAGCCGGCUGAAUGAGAUCCAACUGCUCCGUUUCCUGGGCCUAAAGGUGGAGUUGGGGGCCAUGAUUCCCCCUUUUUAUGCCCUCAGGAUGGGUCCUCAUGCAUCACUCCAUCCUAUGUCUCUGUGGUGGUUUGAGACUGAGGCUGUGGCUGAAACCUGGGUUGUUUUUCAGCACUUUGAGAAGAUGAUAUUGGGGAGGACAACACUUUGAGGCCUCAGAGGGGCUCAGUGGGAAGGAACUCUUUACAUUUCAUAUGGACAGCUUAAAUCACAGAAAAUCCCUUCUCUAAAUCCAGGCCCUCGCUGCCCCCCGAAGGUGCAUUGCAGGCACCAGGGAAGGGAAGGCAGCUGGAAAUCCCUCCUCUCCUCCCACUGUGGUCUUCCCUCCCCCAUCCAACUCAGUACCACACCCCCUGAUCCUUUCUAUUCCCUGGUAGCACAUUUCCUUUGGUCCAGGAACUUUCUCCAGAAUGGAAUGUGCCAUCUGCCACACCAGGUGGCCCACCGCUCACCUCACGACUAUUCAGCAUGUCCCACCACAGCUUUGGCUUAGAAGUCUUGCUUGUGAGGCAUCUCUGGGCUCAGGGAGGAGUCAACAUUAGAUGUUAAAUAAACAAACCCCAGUAGAAAGGCUGAGUGAGAAAAAUGAGAACAGGUAAAGAUAGAUUGGCUUCUCAAAAUGUAGGGGAAAAAAAUACUGUCUAAAGAAGAGAAAGCUCUGUAGGAUUGAAAGCCACCUAAUGGAAAGCAGAAGGUGAAUUCUACUGUUUGAGGAUAUGGGAAAAGGGAAUGGGGUCAGGUUUGGCCUGAGGGCCCAGCUCCAGGGAUCUCUCCUCAGGGCACGUUUUAGUGUCACAGGGAAUAUGGGACUUUCUUCCUAAUGUCCUCUUUGUGCACAUUGAGAAAGCCCCAUUCCAAGAUAUGCACCUUCCUGAGGUAAAGUUUCUUCCAUAGACAGAGAGUUGCUUAAUCUAGUAGUGCUUUCUAGAAAAGAAUCAGUUUGGGGUAAAAACUCUAAGCAAAACUGACUAAAACUCAUGUAUAAACUAUGGAAAAUCCUCACCUCAAUUCUCUUUUCAUUUAGAAAACACUCACCCUCUUCACAAGGCUUUCAGUCAUGAUGUGAUCUAUCUGCUGUCCCCACAGCUUCCCAUGCAUCUCCCUGCUCUGAGUCUCCAGUCAACCAUUGCCCAGCCCACUAGAUUUCUUUCCGUUUUUCAUUGGCCAUAGUCCCUCUACCUCAGCACCUUUACACAGGCUACUCCUCUGCCUGAAAUGCCCAUAUCUUUAUACCUCACAUGUCUGGAUCUUUCUGAGGACACAGAAAUGUGCCCCAACAGCCCAGUUAGUAAUCCUAUUCGUGGAAUGAAUUAAGUGGGGAAGUUGAGCUAAGGUAUUUGCCCAAAGAGUUUCCAGCUGCAUUCAGGCAAGUUACAAAAAAAUAUUCCCAGCCAGGUCUGAGGAGAAGGCCACAAAAUAGAACUGUAGUUUUGUUAUAUGUCACCCUGGCAAAUGCCACACUUGGUGUUGUGCUUUUACUCUCUUGGUUUCUCUCUGCAGUCACCCAUGGCUUGGAGGAAGGGAGGGGCAGAGGACCUGCUCUUUCCCAUGUUACCCCUUCCCGGAAAACACAAUUCUGGCUGCACAGAAGGCUGAAGACUUAUUCAUCCCUGCUUUGAAUGAAGAGGAUGAGCAAAGGCUUCCAGUCGAACUGAGCUCUAGUAGCCCCUUUUCCAGAAACCAAAACCUGGCUGGGAACAUGGCAUUCCCUUUCCACCUCUCCUUAGGGUCUGCCCCUGAAGUCUGCCUUCCUCUUAGAAGGACACUCGUGAUUACAUUCUGGAGCACCAGAUAAUCCAAGAUAACGUGCCUUGACUUUCUGUUAGUCAGGGUUCUCCAGAGGAGCAGAACCAAUAGGAGAUACAUAGGUCCACAUACAUAUAUGAUUAUGUGAUUCUGGAGGUUGGGAAGUUCCACAAGCUGCAAGCUUGGAGACCCAGGGAAGCUGUCGGUGUGAUUCAGUCUGAGGCUGAAGAUCAGAGAACCAGAAAUGCCGAUGUUGCAAAUCCCAGUCCGAGAACAGAAAAAGAUGGUGUAAGAUGUUCCAGCUCAAUAGUGAGACAGGAAAAAAUAAAAGUCAAGUUCCUCCUUCCUCGGCCUUUUGUUCUAUUCAGGCCCUCAAUGGAUUGGAAGGUGCCCACCCAUAUGGGGGAGAGCAUCCCACUUUGCUGAGUCCACCAGUUCAAAUGCUAAUCCCUGGAAUUCAUCUGGAGACACCCUCACAGACAUACCAGAAAAUCAUGUUUAAUUUGGUCUCCCCAUGGCCAGUGAGGUCAGCAUGUAAAAUGAACCGACACAGUCCCUACAUCAAGAUCCUUAAUCACAUCUGCAAAGUGCCUUUUACCGUAGAGGUAACAUUCACAACUUCCAAAGGUUAGAACUGGAUAUCUUUGGGAGCUAGUACUCAGGCCACCACACCUACUGAGGUGCACGUGCAGGAAACACUCUGAGGGGCUGUUCUCAAUCUGUUUUGCACAGUCUUGCCCUAAUAUAUCCCAGAAACGGGAGCUCUCUGCAACCAAUGUUUAAAAGUUACUAUUAAACGGCCUGUCGUUUUCUUUAGCUAAUUCCAAUACUCAGGGAAACCUGGGAGGCUAUUUGUACUGUUUGAGCCUCCACAAAGGGAGAACUCCAGGGAAAGAAAAGUUCCAGAAAUAACCACUGUCCUGUUCGCAGUCGGGCUUGUAGUGCUCUUGUUAUUACCUAAGCUAUGAGCCACCCAGGCACCCCACUUGCUAUUGCUUCCAUUCAAAGAAGUAUUAACAGGACGUUUUCCUUACACAAUUAAAGAAAUUUUAGGAAGUCGCCUAUGCAUUCUCACACUUGUCCCCAGCAAGUUUAUUUUUUAAGGAUUCCAUCCCUCCCAUCGCAGGCAUGGAGGGGUUACCAGUGUGAAGUCCCCAGGACAUCCUGGGCAGUGCCUCUCAACCUCCUGCUCCUUCCUCCUUUGAUGUCUGCAAAGAUGCCAGGCCCAGCCCCUGGCCAGAGUUACAGAAACAAAGGACAAAAUGACCAGGAUGUGAUGCCACCAGGGAGAGGAGAGGCCUCUCCCGUCAGUCCCUGUGAAGUGGCUGCCUCUCCGGGACGAGAAAAUAAGAAGCAUGAAGCACCACUGGAGGCCCAGAUCUGUUCGCAAGUUCCCUAGUGGACUGAGCAAACAUUCAUGAUACACGGGGAUGUGCUUAUUUCUUUUCUUUCAUCUAGCAGGAUAACUGGAAUCAGGCCAGGAGGAGAGUGGCACACCAGACAAACCCACCAGCUUUUUUUUUUUUCCACAGAUGGGACAAAAGAACCAAUUGGGAAAUAUUUCACUGAAAUGAAAAGGCCGAUGCAUGUGCAAAGCUUGGUACAGGGACAGUGGGUUGGGGUCUGUGGGAAGGCAAUUCUGUACAGAGCCUGUCCCUCUGGACAGGUCUGUCCCUCUAAUUCUCCCCCAUUUCUGUCCCAGGAAGUACUGUUGGAGUGUCAGGUCAAAGGAGAGACCCUAAAGGAAGGGUCUCAUCUGUCCCCACUUCUCUUUAUUCCUUCUGCAAAUCUUGAAGGCUUUCUUGUUACCAGGGCUUUGGCAAUGGACUUGCAGAAGAAUGACCCCAAUAAAGGGCUAUUGAAUGCAAGGGUGUCGCCUAUGAUAUGGACCAGUUGGUUUAGGGGGAAUUUAACCAUCAGUUUGUGCUUGGAGCAUCUUGAAUGCACCAGACAAGACUCUUUGGGUCCCCUGCUCCUGACUUCCAUGCAUCGGAUGGCAGCCAUAUUCUGGGCCCUGUUACUCAGCAGAGAUGGUCUUAUUUUCCCAGAGACCUGUGACCCAGAGAGGAUUCCUUGUGUCCUUCAUUAAGAGCCAGAAGAAGAAUUCAGAGAGAAACCCAGCCACAGAAGCAGAAAUGUCCCUGUACAGAAAGAAGCAGGGAUAAGAGUAAGGAAGAGUCCCAUGAGCUCAGAGCAGAGUUUGCUCUCACUUCCCUGGUGGGCUAAGUACCAGCGCUCAAAUAUGACACACAGUCAUAAUCUGCCUUGUCCUCAGGGUGGAGCUUGGAGAUGGUAGGGAAGCUGGGCUGCUGGAUCUCGAGCCAGAGAAAUGGUACGAGAUUCCAGAAGGCUAAGAACCGACAGUAUCAAUUGGAGUUUAGAGGCAGUGCCUGGGCCUCAUUGGUGCCAGGACACCUCGUGAUAUCCCCAGCUCACUGCUGCUUCCAGAGCUUCUGUCCCAGAGCCCUGGAUGCUGAGGAACAUUGAGUCAGGGCAAACCGAGCCCUAAACUUGAAAACAAAAGCAAAGAUAGUUGGUAAGUUUAGGACCAAUGCCCUAAUUGAGCAAGAAUAAGUUCACCCAAAAUCAACAAUGGAGUAUUUCAUUUAGAGCCCACCUCCUGAGCCCACAGCUGGGCAGGGCGGCCCUGGGUGGGGUUGUUUAUCCCACCAGGCUGCUCCGUUUUGGAAUGGAGACUGGAGAGUGGGUUUCAUGCCUAUCUGCUCACCGAGCCUUGACCAUUUUCACUGCCCUAUCUGGUUCCAGACCCUGAGUCUGGGGCCCUCCAAAAUGUUGUGCUUCCUGGGACCCUCGCCAGGAAGGUAUGGUUGAAAGAUCUGUUUCAGAAUAGAUCUGAGGCAGAGUCCCAAGGGAGAUAGAGCUGCUGAGCAGAGGUUACUCAAGGGAGAAGAGCUGAAACCACAGGACUCCAGAACUAUAAGUCCAAGUUCAUUCAGGGAUUCCACAACAGUCCAAACAAACGUUCAUGGGGUCAAGAUGAAGU